UACGAGAGGCCCAAACGUUAUUCGGAAUCACUGGGCUUACAGAGUUCGUAGGCGGUCUGGAAAGUUGGGUGUGAAAUCCCUCGGCCUAACCGAGGAACUGCGCUUGAAACUACCAGACUCGAGGGAGAUAGAGGAAAGCGGAACUGAUGGUGGAGCGGUGAAAUGCGUUGAUAUCAUCAGGAACACCGGUGGCGAAGGCGGCUUUCUGGGUCUUACCUGACGCUGAGGAACGAAAGCCAGGGGAGCGAACGGG
rnacentral:rRNA from 1 species